rnacentral:rRNA from 1 species
UUGAACGCUGGCGGAAUGCUUUACACAUGCAAGUCGAGCGGCAGCGCGGGGGCAACCCUGGCGGCGAGCGGCGAACGGGUGAGUAACAUAUCGGAACGUACCCAUUGGUGGGGGAUAACACAUCGAAAGAUGUGCUAAUACCGCAUACGACCUGAGGGUGAAAGGGGGGGAUCGCAAGACCUCUCGCCGUUGGAGCGGCCGAUAUCGGAUUAGCUAGUUGGUGAGGUAAAGGCUCACCAAGGCGACGAUCCGUAGCUGGUCUGAGAGGACGACCAGCCACACUGGAACUGAGACACGGUCCAGACUCCUACGGGAGGCAGCAGUGGGGAAUUUUGGACAAUGGGGGCAACCCUGAUCCAGCCAUUCCGCGUGAGUGAAGAAGGCCUUCGGGUUGUAAACUGCUUUUGUACGGAGCGAAAAGGCUCUCUCUAAUACAGGGGGCUCAUGACGGUACCGUAAGAAUAAGCACCGGCUAACUACGU